CCCUGCAACAGGCAAGGCCACCAACCUCCAGAAGUCAGGGAAACUCCUGAUCUGAAGUGAGAAGUGAAAGGAACAUCAUGUGGGAAGAGCAGGGAGCAGCACUAUUGAAACUAGCACGGUGACCACCAACAAGGAAACUACAAGACAUUAAAAGAGACUUUGCAUCUCUUGGAAGGACAUUGAAGGGAUCAGGAGCACAAGUGGUUUUCUCCUUCCAACCCAAGCCAUUCUAUGAUGUUUCUAUUAAAGGGUUCCCUGCA